GACAUACUCCCUCCGUUCCAUAAUUCUUGUCGAAAUAUUACAUGUAUCUAGACGCUUUUUAGGAAUAGAUACAUCCAUAUUUGGGAAAAUUUGAGACAAGAAUUAUGGAACGGAGGGAGUAUUUC
rnacentral:pre_miRNA from 1 species